ensembl:lncRNA
AUGUCAUUUAACAGGGUUGAUAUUGAAAAACAGCUCAUGCUUUUUGUCUUCUUUAAAAUCAGCAGGAGUUUUGGAGCAGAUGGAGGAGUUGGUGGUUACGUGCUGCACUGCUUGGUGGAUACACGCCUGGCUAUAGGAGGUUGAAAGGAAAUCAAGGGUGGUGCUGCUAACAUUCCACCCUCAGCUCCCUAUUCACCUCUCAUCAUCCACCCUUGCAUUUCAACUCAAUCGUUUUACCCACCCACCUAGUUCCAUGUGAAAUUGUGCUAAUGGAUGUCUGUCCCACAAUACACAGGGAGACUUGAGCUGUUUUUGUAAUUUGUAUCUUUCUUUUGAAUUUCAAGUGUUUCCAACUUGCAAAAUCCUGGUUUGGGUCAACAUCUGGACUCCAUCCAUGUGUGUGUAAUUCAAGGAUCAUAGCACAUAGAAGUUAGAGGUUGAUCAUCAAAAUUUCGUUGUGGUUCAGGGACAUUAGAUACUGGGAUUUUGCUAUAAUUCUGUGUCUAGCAGGAAGGAAAGGGCUAGAAAGGGAACUGAUAAUGAUUUGAAUGGAGUAGGACCUUGGGCAAUUGUGUUCUGUGUUCCCUGCAAGCUCUGCACAGUCAUUAACACUGA